UACGGAGGAUCCAAGCGUUAUCCGGAUUUAUUGGGUUUAAAGGGUGCGUAGGUGGUUCAUUAAGUCAGGGGUGAAAGACGGCAGCUUAACUGUCGCAGUGCCUUUGAUACUGAUGAACUUGAAUGAACUAGAGGUAGGCGGAAUGUGACAAGUAGCGGUGAAAUGCAUAGAUAUGUCACAGAACACCAAUUGCGAAGGCAGCUUACUAUGGUUUGAUUGACACUGAGGCACGAAAGCGUGGGGGAUCAAACAGG
rnacentral:rRNA from 1 species